rnacentral:rRNA from 1 species
CCUACGGGUGGCAGCAGUGGGGAAUAUUGCACAAUGGGGGAAACCCUGAUGCAGCAACGCCGCGUGGAGGAAUACGGUUUUCGGAUUGUAAACCUCUGUUCUUAGGGAAGAAUAUUGAAGGUAGCUAACGACCAAGCCACGGCUAACUACGUGCCAGCAGCCGCGGUAAUACGGAGGUGGCAAGCGUUGUACGGAAUUACUGGGUGUAAAGGGAGCGCAGGCGGGAAGCUAAGUCAGGUGUGAAAACGACGGGCUUAACUUGUAGACUGCAGUUGAAACUGUUGUUCGUGAGUGAAGUAGGGGUUAGCGGAAUUCCGGGUGUAGCAGUGAAAUGCGUAGAUAUUCGGAGGAACACUGGUGGCGAAGGCGGCCAACUGGGCUUUAACUGACGCUGAGGCUCGAAGGUGUGGGGAGCGAAAGGGAUUAGAUACCCCAGUAGUC